AGGAUGACGAGGACGACUUACUAUGGGAAGCCAUUUCCAAGUUACCGUCUCAGAAGCGAGGGAAUUUCGCAUUGUUGCGGCGAUCUUCAUCGGGCCAAGGAGGAGAAGGUAGUAGUCGAACGGAGACGAUUGACGUCACGAAGCUAGAUCGAGCCAACAGAGAGCUUGUUGUUAAAAAAGCUUUGGCCACCAAUGCCCAGGACAAUCAGAAGCUCCUUUCUGGCAUCAAAGAGCGUCUUGA
rnacentral:misc_RNA from 1 species